rnacentral:rRNA from 1 species
GAUGAACGCUAGCGGCAGGCCUAACACAUGCAAGUCGAGGGAGAGGUUACCUUCGGGUACCCAAAACCGGCGCACGGGUGCGUAACGCGUAUACAAUCUGCCUUUCACAUAGGGAUAGCCCGAAGAAAUUUGGAUUAAUACCUAAUGGUAUAUAAGAGCGGCAUCGUUUUUAUAUUAAAGCUACGGUGGUGAAAGAUGAGUAUGCGUUCUAUUAGCUAGUUGGAGAGGUAACGGCUCCCCAAGGCGACGAUAGAUAGGGGUUCUGAGAGGGAUGUCCCCCACAGUGGUACUGAGAUACGGACCAGACUCAUACGGGAGGCAGCAGUGAGGAAUAUUGGACAAUGGUCGGAAGACUGAUCCAGCCAUGCCGCGUGCAGGAUGAAGGUCCUAUGGAUUGUAAACUGCUUUUGUAAGGGAAGAAUAAGGAGUACGUGUACUUUGAUGACGGUACCUUACGAAUAAGCAUCGGCUAACUCCGUG